UGCGUAGGCGGAUUAAUAAGUCAGUGGUGAAAACCUGCAGCUUAACUGCAGACCUGCCAUUGAUACUGUUAGUCUUGAGUACGGUCAAGGUAGGCGGAAUGUGUAAUGUAGCGGUGAAAUGCUUAGAUAUUACACAGAACACCGAUUGCGAAGGCAGCUUACUGGGCCAUUACUGACGCUGAUGCACGAAAGCGUGGGGAGCGAACAGGAUUAGAUACCCUGGUAGUCC
rnacentral:rRNA from 1 species